rnacentral:rRNA from 1 species
ACUCCUACGGAAGGCAGCAGUGGGGAAUCUUGCGCAAUGGGCGAAAGCCUGACGCAGCGACGCCGCGUGGGUGACGAAGGCCUUCGGUUGUAAGCCCUGUGGGGUAGGAACGAACUGGCAUCGGGCUAAUAUCUCGGUGUCUUGACGGUACUGCCUUAGCAAGCAUCGGCUAACUCUGUGCCAGCAGCCGCGGUAAUG